AGAGCAGUGCCUGGCAGGGGCCUCAUCACUCCUCAGAUGAUUCUCGAAGGAUAACACACAGGCCAGUGGGCAGCCCUAGGCCAGGGGGAUUACCAAGACAUGAAGACUUUCUUUCUGUCUCAGCAACCUUCAUGCUUGGUCAAGCAAAGGUGUUGCUUAAGUCAAACCCAGGGCAGGGGAGAGCAGUUGAAGCAAAGUGAGUCUUUGGAGGCCCUGUGGUUGUGGGGUCUGGUGUGGAGACAGUGAGAACGGAAAAGGUGGGAGAGGAGCAGUCAACCCGUGAAUGGCCCCAUUCAGACGCCUUUACCUGGAAGACGUGGCAGGUCUACUGGGGUUCAUCCCAUCUGAGCCAGGCCUGGCUUUUCUUGGCUGCAAGCUGAGAGCUGGGUCCAGGUCUGCUGAACCAAGGUUCUCCCAUCUUCCUUGAGCCAGUGACAAUCAGAGGCCUAUUUCUUUCAUGACGGAAGGCAGGAGAACAAGCAGGCAAGACCAGCUGUGCUAGCACAUGGCACCCCUUUCCCACAUCACACCUGCUAACAUCCCAUUGUUCAAAGCAAGUAACACAACCAAACCCAAUAUCAACAGGACAAGAAAA
rnacentral:lncRNA from 1 species